GCCGCGGUAGCUCAAUUGGUAGAGCAUCGCACGUGUAAUGCGAAGGUUGUGGGGUCGUUCCCCACCUGUGGCA
rnacentral:tRNA from 1 species